CGCGGCGCCGCCCUCCAGUCCUGAAGAACCCGCGCUGCGCAGAGCCCGCGCCGCCGUCACCUCGGCACCGACACUAAGCAACCCAGCUAGCUUGGCUUGAUCUAGCCCAUUUUUGGCAGGUAGCGCUGCACUAGUCCCACUGGCACAAGAAGCUCCCUUCCCAAAGGACAUGAAGCUAUUGGAGAACUCCAGCUUUGAGGCCAUCAACUCACAGUUGACAGUGGAGACUGGAGAUGCCCAUAUUAUUGGCAGACUGAGCAAGAGCCAGGGUGGUGAGGAUGAAAGUCCUCUAAGUGACAAGUGCAGUCGUAAGACCCUCUUCUAUCUGAUUGCCA
rnacentral:lncRNA from 1 species